UACGUAGGGUGCAAGCGUUGUCCGGAAUUAUUGGGCGUAAAGAGCUCGUAGGCGGUCUGUCGCGUCGGAUGUGAAAAUCCAGGGCUCAACCCUGGACCUGCAUUCGAUACGGGCAGACUAGAGUUCGGUAGGGGAGACUGGAAUUCCUGGUGUAGCGGUGAAAUGCGCAGAUAUCAGGAAGAACACCUAUGGCGAAGGCAGCACUCUGGGACGGUACUGACGCUGAGACGCGAAAGCGUGGGGAGCGAACAGG
rnacentral:rRNA from 1 species